CCUACGGGGGGCUGCAGUGGGGAAUAUUGGGCAAUGGAGGAAACUCUGACCCAGCAACGCCGCGUGAAGGAAGAAGGUUUUCGGAUCGUAAACUUCUAUCCUUGGUGAAGAUAAUGACGGUAGCCAAGAAGGAAGCCCCGGCUAACUACGUGCCAGCAGCCGCGGUAAUACGUAGGGGGCAAGCGUUGUCCGGAAUGAUUGGGCGUAAAGGGCGCGUAGGCGGCCUGGUAAGUCUGGAGUGAAAGUCCUGCUUUUAAGGUGGGAAUUGCUUUGGAUACUGUCGGGCUUGAGUGCAGGAGAGGUAAGUGGAAUUCCCGGUGUAGCGGUGAAAUGCGUAGAGAUCGGGAGGAACACCAGUGGCGAAGGCGACUUACUGGACUGUAACUGACGCUGAGGCGCGAAAGUGUGGGGAGCAAACAGGAUUAGAUACCCUAGUAGUC
rnacentral:rRNA from 1 species